UACGUAGGGGGCAAGCGUUGUCCGGAAUCAUUGGGCGUAAAGAGCGUGUAGGCGGCUCGGUAAGUCCGCUCUGAAAGCCCGGGGCUCAACCUCGAGCCUGUCGGUGGAAACUGUGAGGCUAGAGUCCGGAAGAGGAGAGUGGAAUUCCCGGUGUAGCGGUGAAAUGCGCAGAUAUCGGGAAGAACACCCGUGGCGAAGGCGGCUCUCUGGGACGGUACUGGACGCUGAGACGCGAAAGCGUGGGGAGCGAACAGG
rnacentral:rRNA from 1 species